GACGAACGCUGGCGGCGUGCUUAACACAUGCAAGUCGAACGGAAAGGCCCUGCUUUUGUGGGGUGCUCGAUUGGCGAACGGGUGAGUAACACGUGAGUAACCUGCCCUUGACUUUGGGAUAACUUCUGGAAACUGGGGCUAAUACCGGAUAGGAGCUCCUGCUGCAUGGUGGGGGUUGGAAAGUUUCGGCGGUUGGGGAUGGUCUCGCGGCUUAUCAGCUUGUUGGUGGGGUAGUGGCUUACCAAGGCUUUGACGGGUAGCCGGCCUGAGAGGGUGACCGGCCACAUGGGGACUGAGAUACGGCCCAGAAUCCUACGGGAGGCAGCAGUGGGGAAUAUUGCACAAUGGGCGGAAGCCUGAUGCAGCAACGCCGCGUGCGGGAUGACGGCCUUCGGGUUGUAAACCGCUUUCGCCUGUGAUGAAGCGUGAGUGACGGUAAUGGGUAAAGAAGCAACGGCUAACUACGUG
rnacentral:rRNA from 1 species